rnacentral:rRNA from 1 species
CAUGUCUAAGUAUGAACUGGUUUAAGGUGAAACUGCGUACGGCUCAUUACAUCAGCUAUAACUUUCUUUGAUCAUAAAUUCUAAAUGGAAUAACCGAGGAAAAGCCUGGGCUAAUACAUGCGAAAAUUCCGAUAGUAAUAUUGGAAUGCUUUUAUUAGAUCAAAACCUUCUAGUUCUUUAACCGGAACUGUUUGUUGGUGACUCUAAAUAACUUUGUGUUGAUCGUAUGACCUUUGUGUCGACGACAUAUCUUUCAAGUGUCUGACUUAUCAACUUUAGACGGUACAUUAUAUGUCUACCGUGGUUGUAACGAGUACAGAGAAUCAGGGUUUGGUUCUGGAGAGGCCGCCUGAGAAACGGCGACCACUUCCAAGGAAGGCAGCAGGCGCGCAAAUUACCCACUCUCAAAACGAGGAGGUAGUGAAGAGAAAUAACGAUGUUAGUCUUUUAUAGGCUGAUAAUCGGAAUGGAAACACUGUAAAUAGGUGAAAACUAAAGUUGCUGUGUUUAAAAAGCUCGUAGUUGAAUUUCGGGUAUUUGUUGCUAGCUGGUCUAACUGUCCAUGUUGGUUAACAGAUCCUCACUUGCUGGACGGCUAGCGAUGAUCUUCACUGAUUGUCGUUAGUUGCCAGAACGUUUACUUUGAGAAAAUUAGAGUGCUAAAAGCAGGCUCACGCCUAUAUAUAUUGCAUGGAAUAAUGAAAUAAGAUCUCGAUUUUAUUUCGUUGGUUUUAGAAAUUGAGAUAAUGAUUAAUAGGAUCAGAGGGGGGCGUACGUACUGUGGUGUGAGAGGUGAAAUUCUUGGAUCGCCACAGGACGAACAGCAGCGAAGGCGUUCGCCAAGAAUGUUUUCAUUAAUCAAGAACGAAAGUUUGAGGUUCGAAGACGAUUAGAUACCGUCCUAGUUCAAACCAUAAACGUUGCCAACUGUCUUUUAGAUGCGGUUAUUCAUAUGACUCAUCUGGCGGAUCUCGAGAAAUCUAAGUUUUUAGGUUCCGGGGGAAGUAUGGUUGCAAAGCUGAAACUUAAAAGAAUUGACGGAAGGACACACAAGAAGUGGAGCCUGUGGCCUAAUUUGACUCAACACGGGAAACCUUACUCGGCCAGGACACUUUUAGGAUUGACAGAUUGAGAGCUCUUUCUUGAUUAGGUGGGUGGUGGUGCAUGGUCGUUCGUAGUUCGUGGAGCGAUUUGUCUGAUUAAUUUCGAUAACGAACGAGACUCCGGCUUACUAAAUAGUCUAAAGUUCGCAGGGACUUUUCAAGACUUCUUAGCAGGAUAAGUGGCACUUUUUAAGCCACACGAAAUGGAGCAAUAACAGGUCUGUGAUGCCCUUAGAUGUCCGAGGCUGCACGCGCGCUACACUGGAGAGUUCAGAAUGUUUCUUCCUACUUCGACAGGAGUGGGUAACCAUGAAAUUCUCUUCGUGACUGGGAUCGGAGCUUGCAAUUAUUCUCCGUCAACGAGGAAUUCCUAGUAAGCACUAUUUCAUCAGAAUGUGCUGAUUAUGUCCCUGUCCUUUGUACACACCGCCCGUCGCUACUACCGAUUGAAUGUUUUAGUGAGAUCUUCGGCUUGGUUUUCCGAACGGCUUUCGGGUCGCUUGGUUGAUAUCGAAAAGAUGCUCAAACUGGAUCAUUUAGAGGAAGUAAAAGUCGUAACAAGGUAU